rnacentral:rRNA from 1 species
UAAGGCUCGUAGUCGAUCUUCUAAGAGUGCUGUCAUGGAGUAAUCCGUGACGGGGCUCUUAUCUGACCGAGACCUUCGUUCGUGCUUCACUGUUACGAUGGAGUAAAUCGGUCACUUUACUGAGAAAAAAUUAGAGUGUUCAAAACAGGCACUGCGCCUUGAAUACGCAGCUUGGAAUAAUAGAAAAUGACCUGAGUCUUUUUGUUGGUUUGAAGACUUUGGGAAUGGUUAAUAGAAAACAGUUGGGGGGGUUAGUAUCUAAUUGUAAGAGGUGGAAUCGUUGGUUUUUUUUAGAAAAUGACCCCAGGCGAAAGCAUA